rnacentral:lncRNA from 1 species
AUUUUAUUUCUAUUUAUAUCACCUCAAGUUUCACAUGUCACAUACGAUGAUACCUGAGCUUAUAUUUUCACUUCCGAACUACAAUAUUGUGAAAAUUCAGUACAAGACACCGCCAAGGGUGGUAAUGCUACCAGGUGCACUAUAGGACCAAGGGUAGAUACCAUAUGUAGAUGGCAAGUUAAAAGCCAACAGUGCUUGAGCUUGAGCCAGAUUCCGGUCAAUGUAGAGAUUGCCAAACUGCUGGAGGUGUAGCUGGUGCGCUAUGGCCUGGACAACGUUAAUGUCCUGGUAGUGAGAUUGUUGCGCCACCAGCCUGAGCUGUUGCAAGACUUGGUUGUUUCUCAGUUGAAACGCAGCUGAUUGCAAGAAGGUGCUUGCCGCAAUGCUAUACUGCUGCCUUACGAACUCAUUAUAUGGGCUAAGCACCUGUUGCUGUAGCAGGAGAGGCGACUGCACCUGAUAUUGCCUAAUAUUUUGACCUAAAACAUCAAACUGCGCAGUGGCGCUGCAUGCAGCAAUAGCAAGGAGAGCAAAGACGAAAAUGAUCUUCAUUGUUGCAGGACACUAGUUCUUUUAAAUUUUUGUUGUAUAAUGCUUGAAUUGUGCGAGCGAUGAGGAGGGUUUUCAUGGAGUUUGUCCAUUUAGAGAUGCGGUGGCACGGAUUUUCUCUCGAUUCCUCAUCGGUUGCUUUAGUGUGUUAGUUUUGCUUGGAUGUCCUAUUAGGAUCUAAGUGAGUCAUGUCAUUUGGAUGUAUGUUCUAUUAGGUGCCCCAACAAAUCCGCUUUGGUGUCAUCAUGAAAGUAACUUUUCUGUCCAUCAUGAUGGUUAGCAGGCAAGAAAGAUAACGAUAUGACUCAUCGCUCACCAUUUGCGUUUGUUUCGUGAGGAUUGAAUCUUUUAUCUAGGUAUGUUUCUCACGUUUACUAAGCUAUUAUUUCACUACUGCAUGCCACGUUGAACUUUAAGGUCGCGCGGCCUCAUGCAUCUUGAAUUAUCAAAUUUCAACAGGAAUGACAAAAUUAUAGUACGACAGGUGCAUUUUAUUGUUUCGUUGAUGCGGUAGUGAAGAAUUUCUUGUAGGAAGAAUUAAGUUAGCGCUGAAGCCUAAAAUCACCAUUCGAGAUAUUUACGAGAGAUCACCAUUAUAAUUUUGCUGAAACAUGAGGUUUAUUAUCCAUUUUGUUUGCAGUGAGACUAUCUACUUUCAAUGCUAGAAUAAACUACUCAAAGCAACGAGUUUGUCAGCAAGAACAACCUCAAUGUCUUGGAGCAUUCCUUAAGUACGACAUCUCAUAAUUUUGAAUUUGGAAGAAGGGUGCAUUUUCUUUAUAGUCACUCUACAGUGAUAGAAUAAACCAAAGAACAUCACAAAUCCGUCUGUCCAGUUUUCACCCCCAUUGUUGCCGCUGCAUGUUUUGCUUCUGUACAGAAAUAAUUAUGCCUACGUUGUUGUUCCAUGAUGCAAAUUGAGCGAGAGCUCAACUCAAGAAUUUAUUAUACACUUCCUUUUUUCAAGAAUGAUGGACAACUAGAUGAUUUUCAAUUAUAAUUAAUAUCUAUAUAUGAAACUUGUUAAUGUACCAAAGUUUAAAAUUUUGAAAACCCGUCUUGAUGUCGCUUGACACAACAUAGUUGCAUUAAGUUACGUGUUUGCAUGACAUUGGCUUGUCAUAUUCACAAUGAUGUUGCAUAUGCGGCCUUUGAUAUACGCUUGUUUUAGUAGUGGAUGGAGAAUCAAAGUUGAUUGCUGCAUCUUUACGUGGUCUGUAUGGUAUACGAUUUUGUUGUGGUGGAUUUAGUAUUUGUCAUAUGUUUUUUGUGUUUGUUCUUAUUGGAAUAAAAUGAUGGACAUCCUUUAUACACUCCAUUUAUAUCUAAAAUACGAAGUAGCUUCGAAUCAAAUUUAAGCGCACAGAAAAAUUGUGGAGUACCAAUCAUGGUAAUUAGCUACGACAAUGCACUAGGAUAUAUCCUUAUAGAGGCAAGCUAUUUAAAUAUGAAAGAUAAUUUUAUUUCUAUUUAUAUCACCUCAAGUUUCACAUGUCACAUACGAUGAUACCUGAGCUUAUAUUUUCACUUCCGAACUACAAUAUUGUGAAAAUUCAGUACAAGACACCGCCAAGGGUGGUAAUGCUAUCGGGUGCACUAUAGGACCAAGGGUAGAUACCAUAUGUAGAUGGCAAGUUAAAAGCCAACAGUGCUUGAGCUUGAGCCAGAUUCCGGUCAAUGUAGAGAUUGCCAAACUGCUGGAGGUGUAGCUGGUGCGCUAUGGCCUGGACAACGUUAAUGUCCUGGUAGUGAGAUUGUUGCGCCACCAGCCUGAGCUGUUGCAAGACUUGGUUGUUUCUCAGUUGAAACGCAGCUGAUUGCAAGAAGGUGCUUGCCGCAAUGCUAUACUGCUGCCUUACGAACUCAUUAUAUGGGCUAAGCACCUGUUGCUGUAGCAGGAGAGGCGACUGCACCUGAUAUUGCCUAAUAUUUUGACCUAAAACAUCAAACUGCGCAGUGGCGCUGCAUGCAGCAAUAGCAAGGAGAGCAAAGACGAAAAUGAUCUUCAUUGUUGCAGGACACUAGUUCUUUUAAAUUUUUGUUGUAUAAUGCUUGAAUUGUGCGAGCGAUGAGGAGGGUUUUCAUGGAGUUUGUCCAUUUAUAGAUGCGCUGGCACGGAUUUUCUUUCGAUUCCUCAUCGGUUGCUUUAGUGUGUUAGUUUUGCUUGGAUGUCCUAUUAGGAUCUAGGUGAGUCAUGUCAUUUGGAUGUAUGUUCUAUUAGGUGCCCCAACAAAUCCGCUUUGGUGUCAUCAUGAAAGUAACUUUUCUGUCCAUCAUGAUGGUUAGCAGGCAAGAAAGAUAACGAUAUGACUCAUCGCUCACCUUAUGCGUUUGUUUCGUGAGGAUUGAAUCUUUUAUCUAGGGAUGUUUAUCACGUUUACUAAGCUAUUUUUUCACUACUGCAUGCCACGUUGAACUUUAAGGUCGCGCGGCCUCAUGCAUCUUGAAUUAUAAAAUUUCAACAGGAAUGACAAAAUUAUAGUACGGCAGGUGCAUUUUAUUGUUUCGUUGAUGCGGUAGUGAAGAUUUGAUUGUAGGAAGAAUUAAGUUAGCGCUGAAGCCUAAAAUCACCAUUCGAGAUAUUUACGAGAGAUCACCAAUAUAAUUUUGCUGAAACAUGAGGUUUAUUAUCCAUUUUGUUUGCAGUGAGACUAUCUACUUUCAAUGCUAGAAUAAACUACUCAAAGCAAAGAGUUUGUCAGCAAGAACAACCUCAAUGUCUUGGAGCAUUCCUUAAGUACGACAUCUCAUAAUUUUGAAUUUGGAAGAAGGGUGCAUUUUCUUUAUAGUCACUCUACAGUGACAGAAUAAACCAAAGAACAUCACAAAUCCGUCUUUCCGGUUUUCACCCCCAUUGUUGGCGCUGCAUGUUUUGCUUCUGUACAGAAAUAAUUAUGCCUACGUUGUUGUUCCAUGAUGCAAAUUGAGCGAGAGCUCAACUCAAGAAUUUAUUAUACACUUCCUUUUGUCAAGAAUGUUGGACAACUAGAUGAUUUUCAAUUGAAAUUAAUAUCUAUAUAUGAAACUAGUUAAUGUACCAAAGUUUAAAAUUUUGAAAACCCGUCUUGAUGUCGCUUGACACAACAUAGUUGCAUUAAGUUACGUGUUUGCAUGACAUUGGCUUGUCAUAUUCACAAUGAUGUUGCAUAUGCGGCCUUUGAUAUACGCUUGUUUUAGUAGUGGAUGGAGAAUCAAAGUUGAUUGCUGCAUCUUUACGUGGUCUGUAUGGUAUACGAUUUUGUUGUGGUGGAUUUAGUAUUUGUCAUAUGUUUUUUGUGUUUGUUCUUAUUGGAAUAAAAUGAUGGACAUCCUUUAUACACUCCAUUUAUAUCUAAAAUACGAAGUAGCUUCGAAUCAAAUUUAAGCGCACAGAAAAAUUGUGGAGUACCAAUCAUGGUAAUUAGCUACGACAAUGCACUAGGAUAUAUCCUUAUAGAGGCAAGCUAUUUAAAUAUGAAAGAUAAUUUUAUUUCUAUUUAUAUCACCUUAAGUUUCACAUGUCACAUACGAUGAUACCUGAGCUUAUAUUUUCACUUCCGAACUACAAUAUUGUGAAAAUUCAGUACAAGACACCGCCAAGGGUGGUAAUACUACCCGGUGCACUAUAGUACCUAGGGUAGAUACCAUAUGUAGAUGGCAAGUUAAAAGCCAACAGUGCUUGCGCUUGAGCCAGAUUCCGGUCAAUGUAGAGAUCGCCAAACUGCUGGAGGUGUAGCUGCUGCGCUAUGGCCUGGACAACGUUAAUGUCCUGGUAGUGAGAUUGUUGCGCCACCAGCCUGAGCUGUUGCAAGACUUGGUUGUUUCUCAGUUGAAACACAGCUGAUUGCAAGAAGGGGCUUGCCGCAAUGCUAUACUGCUGCCUUACGAACUCAUUAUAUAGGCUAAGCACCUGUUGCUGUAGCAGGAGAGGCGACUGCACCUGAUAUUGCCUAAUAUUUUGACCUAAAACAUCAAACUGCGCUGUGGCGCUGCAUGCAGCAAUAGCAAGGAGAGCAAAGACGAAAAUGAUCUUCAUUGUUGCAGGACACUAGUUCUUUUAAAUUUUUGUUGUAUAAUGCUUGAAUUGUGCGAGCGAUGAGGAGGGUUUUCAUGGAGUUUGUCCAUUUAUAGAUGCGCUGGCACGGAUUUUCUUUCGAUUCCUCAUCGGUUGCUUUAGUGUGUUAGUUUUGCUUGGAUGUCCUAUUAGGAUCUAAGUGAGUCAUGUCAUUUGGUUGUAUGUUCUAUUAGGUGCCCCAACAAAUCCGCUUUGGUGUCAUCAUGAAAGUAACUUUUCUGUCCAUCAUGAUGGUUAGCAGGCAAGAAAGAUAACGAUAUGACUCAUCGCUCACCUUAUGCGUUUGUUUCGUGAGGAUUGAAUCUGUUAUCUAGGUAUGUUUAUCAUGUUUACCAAGCUAUUAUUUCACUACUGCAUGCCACGUUGAACUUUAAGGUCGUGCGGCCUCAUGCAUCUUGAAUUAUAAAAUUUCAACAGGAAUGACAAAAUUAUAGUACGGCAGGUGCAUUGUAUUGUUUCUUUGAUGUGGUAAUGAAGAUUUGAUUGUAGGAAGAAUUAAGUUAGCACUGAAGUCUAAUAUCACCAUUCGAGAUAUUUACGAGAGAUCACCAUUAUAAUUUUGCUGAAACAUGAGGUUUAUUAUCCAUUUUGUUUACAGUGAGACUAUCUACUUUCAAUGCUAGAAUAAACUACUCAAAGCAACGAGUUUGUCAGCAAGAACAACCUCAAUGUCUUGGAGCAUUCCUUAAGUACGACAUCACAUAAUUUUGAAUUUGGAAGAAGGGUGUAUUUUCUUUAUAGUCACUCUACAGUGACAGAAUAAACCAAAAGAACAUCACAAAUCUGUCUUUUCGGUUUUCACCCCCAUUGUUGCCGCUGCAUGUUUUGCUUCUGUACAGAAAUAAUUAUGCCUACGUUGUUGUUCCAUGAUGCAAAUUGAGCGAGAGCUCAACUCAAGAAUUUAUUAUACACUUCCUUUUGUCAAGAAUGAUGGACAACUAGAUGAUUUUCAAUUCAAAUUAAUAUCUAUAUAUGAAACUUGUUAAUGUACCAAUGUUUAAAAUUUUGAAAACCCGUUUUGAUGUCGCUUGAAACAACAUAGUUGCAUGAAGUGAUGUGUUUGCAUGACAUUGGCUUGUCAUAUUCACAAUGAUGCUGCAUAUGCGGCCUUUGAUAUACGCUUGUUUUAGUAGUGGGACUAAAUUCAAUGGGACUAAAUUCUUUUAUUCCCUUCUAUAUUAAAUAAUCAAGAUGAGGCAGCAGUGCAAAAUUGAGCCGAAUUUUAGGAAAAUAGGGUUCACCAAGUCGAGUUCACACCGCGUUUCUCUUGCGCAAACUCCACUUGCUGGGGGGCAUUUGUUUGACGGUAUUUUGUGAUCUUAUAAAUCCAAGGAUUAUUUGUAUUAUCAAGACAAGCAAACAAAAGAGCAGCUAUGAUCGUCGCAUUCAUUAAUAUGUGACUCUGUAUAUAGCUUGCUCAAUUGCAUGGGAUGCAUGAGCCAUGCACGUACUGGCAUAUGUAUGUCCUCCUAUAUGGCUAUACAUGGGUACAUGUGUUCAGCCAUAUAUACAUGCUUAGCUAAUCUAUACGUAAGCAUGCAUGCACAAGGAGACCUAAGUGACAUGUGAGCAGCUCAUAAACGAGCGCUCGUGACUAUAUAUGUAUUCACCGUACGUGCAUGUAUACGUACAGAAAUACCGGGUGGUUUCUAUGAGUUAAGAAGCAACAUCUAGCUACACGGUUGAAAUGUGAAGCUGCACGUGGGCCGGCAGCCCAUAGACACAUUGCGUUUUCAUCGUAUAUAUGCGAUUGUAUCAGAAUACAUGCGUACGCGGGAUUUCUCAACUGCAAGCUACUGAUGUGCGCGGCUAGCGCCGGAUAAACCCAACCAACAAACUUCGUCUUAUCCAGGUGAUUCGAAUUAGCGUGAUCUGCAGCAACGUCGCCCGGAGGUAUCGGAACAAACACGUGCAGCCACGUCGGCGCCGGAGUAUGCGCGCCCGUCCGUUAGGUUUUCCCAGCGCUUAUAAAAGCCAACGAGAGCUAACCAGCCAGGGCAUGGAGAAUCAUUCAUAAAACACACAUCCAUCCAUCCACACAUAUGUAGAACAAGAACACAAAGCAGAAGGGCACGCCAACGCGUGCGCUGACGGCCGGCGGCAGCCAACAGGCGCUCUGCCAAGAGACGGCGCCAGGCGAUCGACAUUCGUCCAGCCAUCCCUCUGCCCGGUGAGAAGACACGGCGCGCCAGCCGGCGGCUGUGGGCAGAAUGAGGAGGAGAGAAGCAGUACACGGACAUGGUCUCAUCUACACCAGCACACCGGCGGCGAGUACAGCUCCGUCCUUUUCUUUGUUUCUCUUUCGUUUUGCAGAUUGAUCAUGGAGGAGGAACAUGGAUGUAGAACCACAAGAAGAGAUCGAUCCAUCCACUCAUACAUAGAUCACAUGAGGGAACACACAGAGGCCUCGGCGGAAGGGUACGCCGGCGAGGGUACAGGCAGCCACCCAAUAGACGGCGCUAGGCGAUCGACAUCCAUGCAUCGAGAUCCAUCCGACUCCCAUCAAGAUUCAUCCACAGCUACUUCGCCGGAGCAGGAGAGCACGCCGCCGGUAGCGCUCGGCGCCGGUGUCCAGCAGAAGGACGUUGGAGGAAGGAGAGCAACCUGAACUUGGCCAAUCAACAAGCACGAGAAUUAGAUCAAUGGCUGCCCAAGGUAAAGGCUAACCAAAUAUCGUUCCUUUCCUGUUUUAUCUGCAGCACACAUGCAUGCAUGAGGAUAUUUCUACACACGGCGGGUCAGUGCGUGGUGCAUCGUCGUCGCUAGAGUUGUUGAGCCGACCCAUCUAUGGGCGCCACCUAUAAGCUUCGUCACGUCGGAGUUGAUGACAUGCCGUUCGUCCGCGAUACCUUCGCCUUCAUCACACGGCAGUCGCAGACGCCGUCGAGCCACCCACGUCCACAACUAGGCUGCUGCCUCACCAGAAAUGCUGUUUCGGGCACUAUUCACGCCAUCCCGCGAAGAUCGCGAGAGCUGCCAUGGGCGUUUGCCAAGGCGCUGCCGGCCGAGCGGUGGUCAUCCUCGCCAACUGAUCACCACCUGCCGAAGAUGGUCAUCCCCACGUCGCACUGAUGGAGCGUUGGGAAUAGUCGGAGCAGCCGCGGGCAUCAUCAAGCCAUCCCUAAUCCGCCAGGAGGUCUUGUCAGAUCCAAGGCGAAUGCCAUCAUGCUGCCCGCAUCCAUGAAUGUCGCCGAGUCGCCGAGGCGCUGCCAAGCAGUGCUUGUACCCGCCAAUCGAUCAUCUAUCGGGGAAAGCCGUCGUCCUCUCGCCGCCCUGCCGGAGCGCGCCGAAGAUUGCCGGAGCCACCGCCGAUUGCCAUGAUUUCUCCUGCUUCUAUGUCGGAGGUCAAGCAUCAUGCAUGGCGUCGACAACUAUGGCUGCAGCAACUGAGAGUGAGGGCGACAGCGACAGGAUGACGACGAACCGAUGCUGUUGAACGCCAUGGCAACAAGCUAGCAAAUGCACGCUAAUUAAGCUAAUUAUUGUGGCAACGUGGCCGACCAACUGGAGGGUGACACAUCAUCACCAUGCUUCAGUGCUAUGCACAAGAAGAAGUCGUCAACGCGAUGGCUAAACAAAUCCUGUUGAUUUCAAGCUUUCUCAAUUAGAUACCGAGCUGUGAUUAAAUCCGGCUGCCGUCUAUAUCGUCCAACUCGUCGGCGACACUCUAACGCUCGCCAUCCCUGCUCAAGCUACCGGUGAUGCCGUCUACCGGAUGCCGCCACGUCGUCGAGAUACACCAACGCCCCCAUCUCGCCAACUGCGGCUUCUCUUCCGUAAUGUGCGCCGUACCCUCGCCGGCGAUCGUCGGAGCAGCCACUAGUGUCGCCCGAGCUGUUUCUGAUCCAGGAGAUGGUGGCAGUCGCCGGGAUGCUCCUCGAGGAGCCGUCGACACAUGCCACCCUGCUGGGACACACUGAAGGUCCCCAGAGCAGCCGCGGACACCGUCGAGGUGCUCGUACACCGUCGUCAAGUCCAGCUGUGAUUCUUUCACUUCAUCACGGCGGAGUUGUCAUGUCGACUGAUCUGUUGGCGCUGAUCGCAAGCCUCCGUCAAGAUCGAUGCCACUCGUCCUCAGGACUGAUGCAAUCUGUUCGAGCUGCGGUGAUGAUUCUACUCGUUGCGAUCUCGCCGAGACGUUAAACGUCGUCGCCUUUUGCCGACCGCUGCCUCGCAACACCGUCAAUAUCUACCCACCCUCGCCACCGUUGCAAUCUUGGUGCCCACAAGCCGUCGUCAAGUCUGGCUGUGCUUCCUUCUCUUCAUCAGGCCGAGGUCGUCGUGCUGUCUGUCCACGAUGCCUUCUCUUUGUCACGUCGGAGCGUCAAAGUUCAGUGCCCCUACAUCAUCGUUGAGCCGUUCGUGAUGCCGUCUGGCCAUCCCUUCGUCACGUCGGAGCGCCACUGCUUGGUUCCCGUGCAUCGUCAUCAAGCUGAGGUCGUCGUUUCGUCCAUCCACAAUGUCUUUCUCUCCGCCGCGCCAAGGCUACGAGAUGCCAUCCGGCCGCGAUGCCCUUCACCUCGUCAAGUUGGAGUCGUCGUUCUGUCAUCACGCCAAGAUGAGAUACCGCCUGUCCGUGAUGCUCUCCCUCUUCGUGGAGAUUAAUGGUGUCGCACAUCCGCGUAUUGGAGCAUCGCUCAUCUACGUCAACCUGAAGAAAGAAUGGUGUCAUCUGUGAUGCCAGGAAACCAUUCGUGCUGAAUCUACUCCAACAAAUGCCCUUAGCCGUUCCGCCGACGAGGCAUUUACUUCUUCCAAGGUCGCUGUCAUUACCGGCGCCCUCAUAGAGCCCCUUUUACGGGCUCGUUAUCAUAUCAACUGGAUCAAUAGUAGAUCCAUCAUCUGAAGGAGGUGCUAAGCCAUGUUUGUCCGGCUGUCGUCUACACUGAUUUCUUCAUCAUCUUCAUUACAAGUCCCUGUUGUAUAAAGGGCAUGACAAGUUGGGAGGUGCCUAACCAUGUGUAAUUCGGCUGUCGUCUACACCAACUAUCUUCGUCAACUCUUCAUUACUUUGAUCUCAUCUAGCCAGAAGGUGCCCAACCAUGUAUAUUCGGCUAUUGUGUACACCAACUGACUUCACCAGCUCCUCUUCCCUUUAACACCAUUCUGAUGCCGUUGCUAUGACUUCUCUACCGUCCAAGCUACGCGAGUUCCAUGCAUGCUGAAGAUCACUAUAUCUACACCACCACGUCACUCAAGACAGAUGAGGCGGAGCGACGAGGGCAGGCGGAGUAUAAAUAAAGGCUAUGUCUCCAACACCGGCGCACGGACCGACGAGGCCGUGGAUCGCUGUCGGCGCCCACACACACAUCCACCAUCUUCACCAACAUUCAUCAUGCAUGGAGAACGUAAAGCGAAGACGACGAGACGACCACAAGCAGCUUAAUCGGAGGUUCUCCUGUAGGCCUAUACCUACAGGUAAUUAACUGGGAGCUUCUUGAGGCCCUAGGAACCAGAAGACCACAUCGCUGAUGUCAGAUCUGUCCAACGACAGGCAAAGGCACGCACAUUUUAUAUUAUACAUAGAAACUGUAUCUUGUUAAUUCAAUUAAUAAAGAUCACGUUUUUGUGUCUCUUUUGUGUUUGAUUUACAUUUUGUAUCUAGGUACACUGGCACGCCCGCACUAAUUUUCUUUCUAAACAUAGAGGGAUAUAUAUUCGUAUUUUUUCUAUCCUAAACAAUCACCAUUCGAGAUAUUUACGAGAGAUCACCAUUAUAAUUUUGCUGAAACAUGAGGUUUAUUAUCCAUUUGGUUUACAGUGAGACUAUCUACUUUCAAUGCUAGAAUAAACUACUCAAAGCAACGAGUUUGUCAACAAGAACAACCUCAAUGUCUUGGAGCAUUCCUUAAGUACGACAUCUCAUAAUUUUUAAUUUGGAAGAAGCGUGCAUUUUCUUUAUAGUCACUCUACAGUGACUGAAUAAACUAAAGAACAUCACAAAUCCGUCUUUCCUAUUUUUACCCCUAUUGUUGCCGCUGCAUGUUUUGCUUCUGUACAGAAAUAAUUAUGCCUACGUUGUUGUUCCAUGAUGCAAAUUGAGCGAGAGCUCAACUCAAGAAUUUAUUAUACACUUCCUUUUGUCAAGAAUGAUGGACAACUAGAUGAUUUUCAAUUGAAAUUAAUAUCUAUAUAUGAAACUAGUUAAUGUACCAAAGUUUAAAAUUUUGAAAACCCGUCUUGAUGUCGCUUGACACAACAUAGUUGCAUGAAGUUACGUGUUUGCAUGACAUUGGCUUGUCAUAUUCACAAUGAUGCUGCAUAUGCGGCCUUUGAUAUACGCUUGUUUUAGUAGUGGAUGGAGAAUCAAAGUUGAUUGCUGCAUCUUUACGUGGUCUGUAUGGUAUACGAUUUUGUUGUGGUGGAUUUAGUAUUUGUCAUAUGUUUUUUGUGUUUGUUCUUAUUGGAAUAAAAUGAUGGACAUCCUUUAUACACUCCAUUUAUAUCUAAAAUACAAAGUAGCUUCGAAUCAAAUUUAAGCGCACAGAAAAAUUGUGGAGUACCAAUCAUGGUAAUUAGCUACGACAAUGCACUAGGAUAUAUCCUUAUAGAGGCAAGCUAUUUAAAUAUGAAAGAUAAUUUUAUUUCUAUUUAUAUCACCUUAAGUUUCACAUGUCACAUACGAUGAUACCUGAGCUUAUAUUUUCACUUCCGAACUACAAUAUUGUGAAAAUUCAGUACAAGACACCGCCAAGGGUGGUAAUGCUACCGGGUGCACUAUAGUACCUAGGGUAGAUACCAUAUGUAGAUGGCAAGUUAAAAGCCAACAGUGCUUGAGCUUGAGCCAGAUUCCGGUCAAUGUAGAGAUCGCCAAACUGCUGUAGGUGUAGCUGCUGCGCUAUGGCCUGGACAACGUUAAUGUCCUGGUAGUGAGAUUGUUGCGCCACCAGCCUGAGCUGUUGCAAGACUUGGUUGUUUCUCACUUGAAACACAGCUGAUUGCAAGAAGGGGCUUGCCGCAAUGCUAUACUGCUGCCUUACGAACUCAUUAUAUAGGCUAAGCACCUGUUGCUGUAGCAGGAGAGGCGACUGCACCUGAUAUUGCCUAAUAUUUUGACCUAAAACAUCAAACUGCGCAGUGGCGCUGCAUGCAGCAAUAGCAAGGAGAGCAAAGACGAAAAUGAUCUUCAUUGUUGCAGGACACUAGUUCUUUUAAAUUUUUGUUGUAUAAUGCUUGAAUUGUGCGAGCGAUAAGGAGGGUUUUCAUGGAG